CUCCAGCCAACUACUGAAGGAGAUCAUCACAAGCGACGUAAACGGUUGGCGCAGAUCGGCACAGAUAAAUUUAUGGACAAUAUCCGUGGAUAACGGCGUCGGUACUGACUAUACACUGCGUUAACGAUAAACGAUGACAAUUUAGCGUAUACACAUAAUCCAACCAACCUUUCCUGCUGGCCCUCGUUGUUCAGUAUCCACGAAUAAUGUACCUACGACAUACAUAGAUUCUUCAAAACCUAAUGGAAUGUUAUGCAGUCAUCUUCAGCCAUCCAUAUGCAAGAUACCUCAUCAUAAACGUUAUUUAGGUAAUUAGGUAAAGGCAAGAAAAAUCUGAGGCAACGUGUUAAACGUGAACGUGAACGUAUUAACAACAAGGCGUAUUACCAACGGCAACAGCUGACUACAAAUUUACGACAGUAAUGAGUCAUUAUAUACUCCGGGGCGAACUGAGUUAAUAUUUCAGGCCCGGAAUUUUUUUGCCAGGCCAAAAAUUAA